rnacentral:rRNA from 1 species
AACGAACGCUGGCGGCAUGCCUAACACAUGCAAGUCGAACGAGACCUUCGGGUCUAGUGGCGCACGGGUGCGUAACGCGUGGGAACCUGCCCUUAGGUUCGGAAUAACUCCCCGAAAGGGGUGCUAAUACCGGAUAAUGUCUUCGGACCAAAGAUUUAUCGCCUUUGGAUGGGCCCGCGUUGGAUUAGCUAGUUGGUAGGGUAAAAGCCUACCAAGGCGACGAUCCAUAGCUGGUCUGAGAGGAUGAUCAGCCACACUGGGACUGAGACACGGCCCAGACUCCUACGGGAGGCAGCAGUGGGGAAUAUUGGACGAUGGGCGAAAGCCUGAUCCAGCAAUGCCGCGUAAGUGAUGAAGGCCUUAGGGUUGUAAAGCUCUUUUACCCGGGAUGAUAAUGACAGUACCGGGAGAAUAAGCUCCGGCUAACUCCGUG